CGCACGGGUGAGUAACACGUAUCCAACCUGCCGUCUACUCUUGGACAGCCUUCUGAAAGGAAGAUUAAUACAAGAUGGCAUCAUGAGUCCGCAUGUUCACAUGAUUAAAGGUAUUCCGGUAGACGAUGGGGAUGCGUUCCAUUAGAUAGUAGGCGGAGUAACGGCCCACCUAGUCUUCGAUGGAUAGGGGUUCUGAGAGGAAGGUCCCCCACAUUGGAACUGAGACACGGUCCAA
rnacentral:rRNA from 1 species